rnacentral:rRNA from 1 species
GGCGGACGGGUGAGUAAUACAUAGGAAUCUAUCCAGUAGCUGGGGAUAACGUGGGGAAACUCACGCUAAUACCGAAUACGCACUACGGUGGAAAGAGGGGGAUCUUCGGACCUCUCACUAUCGGGUGAGCCUAUGCCGGAUUAGCUAGUUGGUGGGGUAAAAGCCUACCAAGGCGACGAUCCGUAGCUGGUCUGAGAGGACGAUCAGCCACACUGGGACUGAGACACGGCCCAG